GACGAACGCUGGCGGCGUGCCUAAUACAUGCAAGUUGAGCGCUGAAGGUUGGUACUUGUACCAACUGGAUGAGCAGCGCACGGGUGAGUAACGCGUGGGGAAUCUGCCUUUGAGCGGGGGACAACAUUUGGAAACGAAUGCUAAUACCGCAUAAAAACUUUAAACACAAGUUUUAAGUUUGAAAGAUGCAAUUGCAUCACUCAAAGAUGAUCCCGCGUUGUAUUAGCUAGUUGGUGAGGUAAAGGCUCACCAAGGCGAUGAUACAUAGCCGACCUGAGAGGGUGAUCGGCCACAUUGGGACUGAGGCACGGCCCAAACUCCUACGGGAGGCAGCAGUAGGGAAUCUUCGGCAAUGGACGAAAGUCUGACCGAGCAACGCCGCGUGAGUGAAGAAGGUUGUCGGAUCGUAAAACUCUGUUGGUAGAGAAGAACGUUGGUGAGAGUGGAAAGCUCAUCAAGUGACGGUAACUACCCAGAAAGGGACGGCUAACUACGUG
rnacentral:rRNA from 1 species